rnacentral:rRNA from 1 species
UGGGGAAUUUUGGACAAUGGGGGCAACCCUGAUCCAGCAACGCCGCGUGCAGGAUGAAGGCCUUCGGGUCGUAAACUGCUUUUAUCUGUGAUGAAUAUGACAGUAACAGAAGAAUAAGCACCGGCUAACUACGUGCCAGCAGCCGCGGUCAUACGUAGGGUGCAAGCAUUAUCCGGAGUGACUGGGCGUAAAGAGUUGCGUAGGUGGUUUGUUAAGUGAAUGGUGAAAUCUGGAGGCUCAACCUCGCAGAUUAUUAUUCAAACUGGCAAACUCGGGAGUAGCAGAGGUAACUGGAAUUUCUAGUGUAGGAGUGAAAUCCGUAGAUAUUAGAAGGAACACCAAUGGCGUAGGCAGGUUACUGGGCUAUUUCUGACACUGAAGCACGAAAGCGUGGGGAGCGAACCGG